rnacentral:rRNA from 1 species
GACGAACGCUGGCGGCGUGCUUAACACAUGCAAGUCGAACGGAAAGGCCCUGCUUUUGUGGGGUGCUCGAGGGGCGAACGGGUGAGUAACACGUGAGUAACCUGCCCUUGACUUUGGGAUAACUUCAGGAAACUGGGGCUAAUACCGGAUAGGAGCUCCUGCUGCAUGGGGGGGGUUGGAAAGUUUCGGCGGUUGGGGAUGGACUCGCGGCUUAUCAGCUUGUUGGUGGGGUAGUGGCUUACCAAGGCUUUGGCGGGUAGCCGGCCUGAGAGGGUGACCGGCCACAUUGGGACUGAGAUACGGCCCAGACUCCUACGGGAGGCAGCAGUGGGGAAUAUUGCACAAUGGGCGGAAGCCUGAUGCAGCAACGCCGCGUGCGGGAUGACGGCCUUCGGGUUGUAAACCGCUUUCGCCUGUGACGAAGCGUGAGUGACGGUAAUGGGUAAAGAAGCACCGGCUAACUACGUG